rnacentral:rRNA from 1 species
UGAGGAAUCUUGCGCAAUGGGGGAAACCCUGACGCAGCAACGCCGCGUGAGUGAGGAAGGCCUUCGGGUCGUAAAGCUCUGUCAGAUGGGAAGAAAUGGGUGGGGGCUAAUAUCGUCCAUCCUUGACGGUACCAUCAGAGGAAGCACCGGCUAACUCCGUGCCAGCAGCCGCGGUAAUACGGGGGGUGCAAGCGUUGUUCGGAAUCAUUGGGCGUAAAGCGCGCGCAGGCGGCUUGGUAAGUCAGAUGUGAAAUCCCUGGGCUUAACACAGGAAGUGCAUUUGAUACUGACUCGCUGGAGUACGGGAGAGGAAGGUGGAAUUCCUGGUGUAGAAGGGAAAUUCGUAGAUAUCAGGAGGAGGACCGGUGGCGAAGGAGACUUUCUGGCGCGAUGCUGACGCUCAGGCGCGGAAGCAUGGGGAGCAAACAG